UGCAUUGGACGACUUUUCAUACUCUUUACUUUUACAUUUCAUUAUAAUAUUCAUUUGUCGCGUAAUCAGCAAACUUGGAUCUAAUCCGUGAUCAAUUCGUUUUUUAGAUGAUUAAUUUAACAUGCUGAGAUGUGAUUUUUUAUUUCAAUUUGGUUCGACUUUAGAUCAGUUCGGUUGAUAGAACUCAGAUAUCUUCGGUUACAUACAUGCAUAUCAACAAAUCAAACUAAGGGUUGAUGAGUGGGAAAUGCUUCUGGAUUUUAACACAGCUGAUACGCCGUUUGUAUUUGUGGAGAAUAUAUAAGCAUAUUCACGCGUAAUUUAAGACCAACAACAGUUGGACACUCUUCACGUUAGAUUGGCACAGACAACGUGGACUUGCUGCCCCCUUCUUUCUGGUUUCCUCCUUGUUUUGUAAUAAGUAUUUCUUUGCUUUUCUUUUUGAGUUCUUUAUUUUCCAUUUUUAACUUUAUUAGUACUGUUUUUUUUCUUUACUUUAAAACACAUAACAACAAAAACGUGGUCGACGGAACAAUGUGGAUUGUGGAGCUGUCUUUGACUGAGACCCACUCACAGUUUAUUAACGCCGUGAAGAUUUCCUUCGUUCUAUUCAAAAAAAAAAAGAUUUCAUUCAUUUACGUUUUUAUCAGUUGGACGAUAGUAUCCUUGGACGUAUGCAUAUACUAUAAGGUCAUAUUUGUUUGUUGGAUGAGGAUCUGAUUAGGUCUCAAAUCAACCUGUAAUAUUGAUUUAAUGGACGACAACACCAAAUUCAUUUUCGCUUCCUUCAUUGUAUUGUUAUUCUUCGUUACGUUCUGUUAUAUUUUUUUUUCUUGUCAAGAUUGUUGAAUUCAAUUAUAAUAUGAUUCAUGG
rnacentral:lncRNA from 1 species